UAUUUUUAUGAAACUGUCUCAGCUAUAAUAUCAUAAUCCUUACUUAACGUCCACGGCUUCGGGGCGCUUAUUGGACAGAAUAAAAGGACUUGCAAAUGAAUUUCAUUAUGUUUUCUCAAAGCCAAUUUUUCUUAAGCUCGACAUUUCGGGCUAAAACGGAAAUAAAAAUACUAAAUUUCUAAUUAAAUCUGUACUUUUCGUGAUUUAGGGUGACGGGAAACUAUUAUCUGAAAACUAACGACGACUCACCGUACGCGUUGGGCGACAUUGGGCUUUGAGGUGGCGUGUGGUUUUUCUAUAAUAAAUAAAUUUAUAAAAUAUGCACAAAAUUUAUUUCUAAAAUGACGAGGUACUUUUAUAAAAUCGGCGUACUUAAAUGCGCAAACAAGUGUUUGGGUGACGUAUAUCAGUUUUCGAGAGUACUUUACGCGAUUUACGUCCAAGAUGUUCGAGGACUUAAGUUUUCGUUAGUUCCGAUACUUCCGUGUGAAAAUGCGGUCCCUGCUGCUUGUCUAUUGCGUAGCUCCUCUAGUUCUCGGAGGUACUCUAUAUCGGGACAAUAUCGACUUAUUAUCGCAAAUUCGGCAGUUACAAGAGCUGACGUCCUCGCAGAAAAAAAUUAAUUUGACAUCGGCGUCUCCUUCGCCACGAGUAGCCGAAUCGGACGUCUCGUUUAGGGUUUACAACAGAAAAGAUGAGGAAGGAAAAGCAGUGUCGUGUAACGAAGCAAACAAAAUCAAAUCGAUAACUCAAUUCAACGAACGGUUGUCUACGGUAUUCAUAAUCCAUGGCUGGAUGAACAACUGCAACUCGUCCUCGGUUACUACCCAAAUUAGGGAAUCAUUGCUGACCAAUCACGACGUGAACAUCAUUACCGUAUGUUGGGACAGUUUGGCUAAUUGGGAUUACAUAAACUCCUGCUUGUCCGUAGAAGGAGUGGGCAGAUACGUGGGUGAUUUUAUUAGAACUCUAUCCGAAACGAACAACUACCCCUUGGAAAAUAUUAAAGUCGUCGGUCAUAGUCUAGGUGCCCAUAUCGCCGGUUAUGCUGGAAAAGAAAAUGGCGGCGACUUGGCUUAUAUUAUUGGUCUUGACCCGGCCGGUCCUUUGUAUUUUGAAAACGAUAAAGACAACAGACUCGAUGAAUCCGAUGCCAAAUAUGUUCAAGUUAUUCACACGGAUGCCGGCUUACUAGGCGCGAACUAUAAAGUUGGACAUUUGGAUUUCUGGCCGAACGGGGGUGAAAAUCAACCGGGGUGUUGGAUAGAUUUCAUCUGCUCUCACGGGAGAUCGUACGUGUAUUACGCCGAAUCGAUUGUAAAUAAUAACUUCAUCGCUAGAAGAUGCACGAGUUACGAUGACUACAUCAACGGAAAAUGUGAGCAAAAUGAAAAAACCCGUAUGGGCGGGUACAUAUUGGAUGACUCAAUAACCGGAAACUAUUAUCUGGAAACUGCUGACUCUUCGCCUUAUGCAGAAGGAGACAAAGAACUUUUAUUAUUGUAAUUAUAUACCAAUAUAAAUAAAUGGACUAUUUAAAAUCGUCUCCAUUUAUUUACUAAAAGCAAAUGUAGAUGAUAUAUAUAAUCCAGGAUAUUUGCUAUACCAAAGAGAAGACGGAUUGAUUGAAGUGGAAGACCUAAAUA